rnacentral:rRNA from 1 species
AUUGAACGCUGGCGGCAGGCCUAACACAUGCAAGUCGAGCGGAGCGGCGGAAGGGUGAGUAAUGCCUAGGAAUCUGCCUGGUAGUGGGGGAUAACGUCCGGAAACGGGCGCUAAUACCGCAUACUAUCAGAUGAGCCUAGGUGGGAUUAGCUGGUUGGUGGGGUAAAGGCCUACCAGGGCGACGAUCCGUAACUGGUCUGAGAGGAUGAUCAGCCAACCUGGAACGUAGAGACGGUCCAGACGCCUACGGGAGGCAGCAGUGGGGAAUAUUGCACAAUGGGCGCAAGCCUGAUGCAGCCAUGCCGCGUGUAUGAAGAAGGCCUUCGGGUUGUAAAGUACUUUCAGCGGGGAGGCGUUACCCGCAGAAGAAGCACCGGCUAACUCCGUGCCAGCAGCCGCGGUAAUUC